CGAAACCUGGCGGCGUGCCUAAUACAUGCAAGUCGAGCGGACCAAGGGAGCUUGCUCCUAGAGGUUAGCGGCGAACGGGUGAGUAACACGUGGGCAACCUGCCUGUAAGACUGGGAUAACAUCGAGAAAUCGGUGCUAAUACCGGAUAAUAAAAAGAACUGCAUGGUUCUUUUUUGAAAGAUGGUUUCGGCUAUCACUUACAGAUGGGCCCGCGGCGCAUUAGCUAGUUGGUGAGGUAACGGCUCACCAAGGCGACGAUGCGUAGCCGACCUGAGAGGGUGAUCGGCCACACUGGGACUGAGACACGGCCCAGACUCCUACGGGAGGCAGCAGUAGGGAAUCUUCCGCAAUGGACGAAAGUCUGACGGAGCAACGCCGCGUGAGUGAUGAAGGUUUUCGGAUCGUAAAACUCGGUUGUUAGGGAAGAACAAGUGCCGUUCGAAAGGGCGGCACCUUGACGGUACCUAACGAGAAAGCCACGGCUAACUACGUGCCAGCAGCCGCGGUAAUACGUAGGUGGCAAGCGUUGUCCGGAAUUAUUGGGCGUAAAGCGCGCGCAGGCGGUCUCUUAAGUCUGAUGUGAAAGCCCCCGGCUCAACCGGGGAGGGUCAUUGGAAACUGGGAGACUUGAGUACAGAAGAGGAGAGUGGAAUUCCACGUGUAGCGGUGAAAUGCGUAGAGAUGUGGAGGAACACCCAGUGGCGAAGGCGACUCUCUGGUCUGUAACUGACGCUGAGGCGCGAAAGCGUGGGGAGCAAACAGGAUUAGAUUACCCUGGUAGUCCACCGCCCGUAAACGAUGAGUGCUAGGUGUUAGGGGUUUCGAUGCCCUUAGUGCCGAAGUUAACACAUUAAGCACUCCGCCUGGGGAGUACGACCGCAAGGUUGAAACUCAAAGGAAUUGACGGGGGCCCGCACAAGCAGUGGAGCAUGUGGUUUAAUUCGAAGCAACGCGAAGAACCUUACCAGGUCUUGACAUCCUUUGACCACCCUAGAGAUAGGGCUUUCCCCUUCGGGGGACAAAGUGACAGGUGGUGCAUGGUUGUCGUCAGCUCGUGUCGUGAGAUGUUGGGUUAAGUCCCGCAACGAGCGCAACCCUUGACCUUAGUUGCCAGCAUUCAGUUGGGCACUCUAAGGUGACUGCCGGUGACAAACCGGAGGAAGGUGGGGAUGACGUCAAAUCAUCAUGCCCCUUAUGACCUGGGCUAC
rnacentral:rRNA from 1 species